rnacentral:rRNA from 1 species
UUAAGCGACUAAGCGUACACGGUGGAUGCCCUGGCAGUCAGAGGCGAUGAAGGACGUGCUAAUCUGCGAUAAGCGUCGGUAAGGUGAUAUGAACCGUUAUAACCGGCGAUUUCCGAAUGGGGAAACCCAGUGUGUUUCGACACACUAUCAUUAACUGAAUCCAUAGGUUAAUGAGGCGAACCGGGGGAACUGAAACAUCUAAGUACCCCGAGGAAAAGAAAUCAACCGAGAUUCCCCCAGUAGCGGCGAGCGAACGGGGAGGAGCCCAGAGCCUGAAUCAGUGUGUGUGUUAGUGGAAGCGUCUGGAAAGGCGCGCGAUACAGGGUGACAGCCCCGUACACAAAAAUGCACAUGCUGUGAGCUCGAUGAGUAGGGCGGGACACGUGGUAUCCUGUCUGAAUAUGGGGGGACCAUCCUCCAAGGCUAAAUACUCCUGACUGACCGAUAGUGAACCAGUACCGUGAGGGAAAGGCGAAAAGAACCCCGGCGAGGGGAGUGAAAAAGAACCUGAAACCGUGUACGUACAAGCAGUGGGAGCACGCUUAGGCGUGUGACUGCGUACCUUUUGUAUAAUGGGUCAGCGACUUAUAUUCUGUAGCAAGGUUAACCGAAUAGGGGAGCCGAAGGGAAACCGAGUCUUAACUGGGCGUUAAGUUGCAGGGUAUAGACCCGAAACCCGGUGAUCUAGCCAUGGGCAGGUUGAAGGUUGGGUAACACUAACUGGAGGACCGAACCGACUAAUGUUGAAAAAUUAGCGGAUGACUUGUGGCUGGGGGUGAAAGGCCAAUCAAACCGGGAGAUAGCUGGUUCUCCCCGAAAGCUAUUUAGGUAGCGCCUCGUGAAUUCAUCUCCGGGGGUAGAGCACUGUUUCGGCAAGGGGGUCAUCCCGACUUACCAACCCGAUGCAAACUGCGAAUACCGGAGAAUGUUAUCACGGGAGACACACGGCGGGUGCUAACGUCCGUCGUGAAGAGGGAAACAACCCAGACCGCCAGCUAAGGUCCCAAAGUCAUGGUUAAGUGGGAAACGAUGUGGGAAGGCCCAGACAGCCAGGAUGUUGGCUUAGAAGCAGCCAUCAUUUAAAGAAAGCGUAAUAGCUCACUGGUCGAGUCGGCCUGCGCGGAAGAUGUAACGGGGCUAAACCAUGCACCGAAGCUGCGGCAGCGACGCUUAUGCGUUGUUGGGUAGGGGAGCGUUCUGUAAGCCUGUGAAGGUGUGCUGUGAGGCAUGCUGGAGGUAUCAGAAGUGCGAAUGCUGACAUAAGUAACGAUAAAGCGGGUGAAAAGCCCGCUCGCCGGAAGACCAAGGGUUCCUGUCCAACGUUAAUCGGGGCAGGGUGAGUCGACCCCUAAGGCGAGGCCGAAAGGCGUAGUCGAUGGGAAACAGGUUAAUAUUCCUGUACUUGGUGUUACUGCGAAGGGGGGACGGAGAAGGCUAUGUUGGCCGGGCGACGGUUGUCCCGGUUUAAGCGUGUAGGCUGGUUUUCCAGGCAAAUCCGGAAAAUCAAGGCUGAGGCGUGAUGACGAGGCACUACGGUGCUGAAGCAACAAAUGCCCUGCUUCCAGGAAAAGCCUCUAAGCAUCAGGUAACAUCAAAUCGUACCCCAAACCGACACAGGUGGUCAGGUAGAGAAUACCAAGGCGCUUGAGAGAACUCGGGUGAAGGAACUAGGCAAAAUGGUGCCGUAACUUCGGGAGAAGGCACGCUGAUAUGUAGGUGAAGUCCCUCGCGGAUGGAGCUGAAAUCAGUCGAAGAUACCAGCUGGCUGCAACUGUUUAUUAAAAACACAGCACUGUGCAAACACGAAAGUGGACGUAUACGGUGUGACGCCUGCCCGGUGCCGGAAGGUUAAUUGAUGGGGUCAGCGCAAGCGAAGCUCUUGAUCGAAGCCCCGGUAAACGGCGGCCGUAACUAUAACGGUCCUAAGGUAGCGAAAUUCCUUGUCGGGUAAGUUCCGACCUGCACGAAUGGCGUAAUGAUGGCCAGGCUGUCUCCACCCGAGACUCAGUGAAAUUGAACUCGCUGUGAAGAUGCAGUGUACCCGCGGCA